GACAGAGGGUGCGAACGUUGCUCGGAAUUACUGGGCGUAAAGCGCGUGUAGGCGGACGAUCAAGUCAGAUGUGAAAUCCCUGGCUCAACCCCAGGAACUGCAUUUGAAACUGGUCGCCUUGAGUGUUGGAGAGGGAAGCGGAAUUCCUGGUGUAGAGGUGAAAUUCGUAGAUAUCAGGAGGAACACCGGUGGCGAAGGCGGCU
rnacentral:rRNA from 1 species